AGAAAAUAGUUUAAUUAAAAUAUUAAUUUUGGAGAUUGAAGUUAAAUAAGUUUUUUUUUCUGAA
rnacentral:tRNA from 1 species